rnacentral:lncRNA from 1 species
GGUUUCAUAGACAUGGUCAAAGGGCUGCUUGCCUUGGUUGGCUUGGUCUUCAAAGUCUUCAGGCCCUUCUCCUCCUUCUUCCUCAGCUACCUCGUCAAAUACGGGAUCUAACGUUGCAAGAAAAUAACGGAAAAAUAAGACAAUAAUAAAAACAGAAAAGUCAAAGUGCUCAGAAAAAUGUCAACUUAUUUUUGUAAAAUACUAGGAGGAAAACUAGGAAGGGGAAAAUUCUUGGUUUUGAAUUUGGAGCUAGGGAAACAGAGUUGUGGAUUUUCAAACAGAGGUUUUAUUGUUCAAAUUUGAAUUUAAAUUUGAAUAGAGCAAAAAGUUGUAAUGGAUGUGCAUGAAAGUUACAUCAAUAAAUAGGUGGGAUUAUUUUGAGAUUUUAGGAGUUGGAAAUAUUUCAUUUGGACAAAUAUUUUGUCGUGUGGAAUUUUUGGAAAAGAGACAGAAAAAGAAAAAGAAAAGUGGCGCUGUGCCACUGGGCCAGAGAGGCCACGGGCAGCAGGCCCAGAGGGGAAACCAGCCCACGCGGGCCGCCACGUCGAAGGCGUAAAGGCGAAAUACGCCUUCAGCCGACGGGCGAACCGGUGCGCGCGUGCGCACGUUUUAAACCUGACGGGUGGAUCCCACCCGUCAGGGCAUGAGGCUGACGGGCUGGCCCCACGGCCGUCAUCAUCUAACUCCGGCCAGAGGCAACGACGAGCUCGCCGGCGGCGAUACAGAGCACGGGAGGGUGCUCGGGUGGUACCGUUGGACUCGGGGCGGAGUCGCCGUUCGGGUGGUGGUGGAGACGGUCGCCGGAGCAGCCUGGUUCGCCGGCGACGAGGUCACACGGUGGAGGUGCUUCGGGCAUCGAUGAAUCCGGCCGUUCCCGGCUGCAAAAAGAGGGGGAAAGAGAGGGGAAAAGGUCAGCGUGGCCACGCGGUUCCAGAUCGAGAAGAAACGGAGGCGGAGGAGGCCUGUACCGCGCGAACACCGGCGAGCCGAGGCGGCGGAGCUCGAGCUCGAUCUCGAGCUCGGGCGGCUCUGGAGGUGAAUGGGUGGUACGGGAGGUCGAUUUGGAGUGUGGGGGAGUGACAGGGAGCAAAAGAGGGGCUCGGGGUUGCCUUAUAUGGGCUGGCCGAGGUCCACCGUAGGCGUGGCCUACGGGUGCCCGCGGGAUCGGCUCGGGUGGCCGUUAGAGAAGGAAUGGAGAGCUCGGGGGUGUUCGUGGGAGUGGUGUAGGGUGCUAGGGAGAGAGGGAAGAAGCGGGGCGAGCUGCACGCGGGCCACAGGAGUGGCGCAAGCAUUGGCCGAGCGGGGCGGCGUUCUGGCGUGAGCUGCAGGAGAGAGAGGAGGGCGCGGGAGCAAGCGGGCGGCCUGCUGGCGUGGAGCGGACGUUGAGGGGCAUUGACUGGCGCGCGGGGGAAGCUCGAGGUGGUCGGGAGGCGCGGCGUCAACGGUCGGCGUCCUGCCGGGCGCUCCAGAGCGCGACUUUGGCCGGCAUCCGCGGCUUUUCCGCGUCCGCGCGCGUCCAUUAGUGUCUGGCGGCUGCCGGGGGUGUGGGCAAAACUAGGAGGGAGCCUCGGAUGCUCUGGAUGGCCGGGGGGAGAGAAGGAGGUAGAGAGAGAGAGGAGAAGCUGCUGUCCAAAGAGGACAAAUGGGGUUUCCCCCUCCCUCAUCAUUGCUUCCUCGGGCAGAAAAGCAUCCAAGUUGCAAAGGGGAACGAGGGGGGGUUGUGGUAAAAAGAUGGGCUCAAGGAGAUUAGUGGAAGGGGCUGGAAUUAGCAUUCUAAAAUCCUGCCAGAAGGUGUUUGAUGAGGUUUUGGGCAAGUUAAUGACUUCCACUGGUCAUGAGACUCCACAGGGUGAGAUGCCACAUAUAAUUAGGGCCUUCCACCCAUUUUGAGCUUAUUUGGACAAACUUGCCAAUGCAACUUUUGCAAACCCUAAAAAUGGGCAGAAAUGGAUUUGUGUAGAUCCAGUUGAGUAGAUCACUUCUCCUUGGUGCACCACUUGGUGUGGUGGCCUUAUUUGGUCAUGUGAUCAGGCUCACCAAAGUUGGGAUCAUGGCGAAAAAGUUGGUAGUACAAAGUAGUUCAAAUUCGAUUCUGGUCAAAGGGGGUUUUGAGGCACUUUGACCAAGAUAUCUUCUUCUCCAACCUGUGCCAUUUGGUCUAGAUGCAUUAUUAGACCAUUGGAGCAUGUUCACCAAGUUUGAGAACAUUUGGACAUGUUUGGCAAUGUAAAGUUGCUCAAACUUCAAAAUGGACAGAAAUGGUUUUGAGGGGAUUUAAUGGGGUUAUACUAUUCUCCAUGACAUGAGACUUGUCAAGAUCAUCAAGUAUGUCAUAUGUGAGAUGAUAGAAUUUUCUUGGAAUUUUUGGAGAAUAUUUCCUUUGUAAAUAUUUCAAAAGCUUGAAAUAUCCAGAAAGGGUUUUAGAGGGAUUUGACCAAUAUUUUGAACAUGACCAUGUGUUGAAACUCUUAUAUAUGGAAAAUAUAUGUCCACUGAGUUUCCCUAAUUUUUGUCAAAUAUUUUUAAAAGAAUAAAAUAAUUUUUCCCUAUUAAAGACCAUUUCUGGCCUUAAGAAAAAGCUUUUAAAUAAAAUAGUAAAACAACUUUUAAAAUUAUAUUUUUGUGGUUUGUGGGAGUCCUACACCUAAUAGGAUUCAAAUAUACCUUUUGAAAUAUUUUUCAUAACCCAAAUCAAGUACUUGCAGUGCAAACCUCAAUUCAGGGGUUUUUGGAAAACUAAAUUUAGAAAAUACUUUUUGGCCAAAUUAUUUUUGUAAGAAAAUUCUAUAUUGCACUAUACACAUGGCAUGGUCAUUGGGCAGAAGUUUGGGGCAAGGAGAUGAAAUAUAGAUGGUGAAGUAGUUGACUUUAAAGAGCACUUGAAAAGAAGCACAGAGAGAAAACCAACUCCAAAUAAAAGCCAAAUAAUGCAAAAGUUUUUGUUGGUCCAAAUUUUCAUGCUUUAUUAAUGCAAAUGAAAUGUUACAAAAUGCAGGGUGUGACAGAUCUACCCCCUUACAAGAAUCUCGUCCCCGAGAUUCCUAAACUAGGCUUUAAAGAGAUACGGAAACUCGGAUCUAAGGUAGUCUUCACGCUCCCAAGUUGCUUCUGCUUCAGUGUGGUUGCUCCAUUGGACCUUGAAGUACUUGAUGGUGCGGCUUCGAGUGCGUCGCUCAGCCUCAUCCAGAAUGCAGAUGGGCCUCUCACGGUAAGUCAAAUCUGGCUGAAGGUCAAUAGCUUGGUGAUUGACGUCCUUGUAAAGAUCAGGCUUGUCUAGAACUUGGAGACAAUUCCGGAGUUGUGACACGUGGAACACGUUGUGCACAUCGGAAAGUUCAGGUGGAAGUUCCAACUGGUAAGCCACUUCUCCUCGUCGUUCAGUGAUCUUGAAGGGGCCAAUGUGUCAGGACCCCGACUCAAUGCCACAUCAAUCUAGCAUGUAACACCUCAUAUCACUUUGCGGCCUCACGCACGGUAUUCCCACGGGUGUCGCCUUACCUUUACCCGGGACCGUUUGCGCCUUUUGGCACACGUAUAUGACAGUGUCGCUAGCAUCCAUAUGAUAAGGAGCCCAGGCUGACAUGGCUAGUCGUAAACCCAAAGUGGCACAAACUUACAGGGACAGGCAUCCAUGACCCAACAUCGAACGUGUCGGUCAUCAGCGAGUGAAUCCAGGCUGUAGCACUGGGCUAGCAGGACUCCGGUGAACCGGGCUGUAGUGGGCUAACAGGACUCCGGUAUUCAUCGCGUGACAUUUCCCCGAAGGGACAGACACAGGAACGAAGAAGGACACAUGCCGGCCAGCCUAAGUGUUCCGGAGCAGUAGCAAGCUACCAUGGCUCGGUGGAAACACUAGGAGACAUUUCCCGGUAAGAGAGGCUACUAAAGAUAAACAAAUAGAUAGUCAGAUCCCACACAUACCAAGCAUUUCAAUAACAUACACACAAUAUGCUCGAUAUGUGCACUACAACAUGGCAUCACAAAAUGACUCUACGACUCAAGUAGUUUAUUCAAUAGGCUCCGAGGAGCGAGAUAUUACAAACAUGAGUCUCAUGACCCAACAAUCAGAGCAUACAAGUCAAAGCACAUGCGGAAGCUUAACAUGUCUGAGUACAGACAACUAUAAAUGAAAAAGGCUGAGAAGCCUGACUAUCUACCAGAUCCUGCGGAGGACACAAGAUCGUAGCUGAGGUAACAAGCUAAACGUCGAAGACCAUGCGGAAUUACUAGUGAGACUGAAGUCUCUCUGCAAAAACAUAAAAUAGGAAAACGUGAGUACAAAUGUACCCAGCAAGACUUACAUCAGAACUAUCUACAUAUGCAUCAUUAUCAACAAAGGGAUGGUGGGGUUUAACUGCAGCAAGCCAGCUUUGACUCGGUGGCUAACCUGAACUACGACUGCAAGUAACUCUUUUGAGGUGGCGCACACGAGUCCACAUAUUCACCAUAUCAAUACACCACUAUGGAUCCGCUCCCGUCUCCCUUCGAGAACGCCAUCCAUAGCACUCACGCUUAUCUUGCGUAUUUUAGGGUAUCCACUUUCACUUGUCUAUGAACUAUGCAAUGGGGUCCAAGUUUCCAUAUCCGAGGAAUCCGGCUAUUCGAAUAGAUAUUGAUAACCCUGCAGGGGUGUACUUCUUCACACACGCUCUCGCCACUUACCGCCCUGUACACGUCAUGUACCUCGGCAACCUUCAAGCGGAAGCCGGGCGAGGGAGUCGGCCACGACCUGACUAACCGAACAAGUCUCUAGUCCAGGUUUAUCGCCUAUUCGGGUUCCAUCCGCAAGGAGAUCCGGCCGGGGUGUCGCUCACGGCCCCAAACGAUGUGUGCAGGGUUCCCAAGCCCACCAACCGGGUGCCACUUGGUACACCGUGCCACUGUGCCUAGUUUGUCCCAAGCCCACCUGUACCGGGUGCCACUUGGUAGACUACUAACACUACCUACAAACACCAGAAACUAGUUGCAACUCCUGGACAGAGAUCAUGUUAAUUAAUAAGUCGAGAGGGGUCGAGUUACCGGAACCCAAUGUGUGGUAGUAACUGGUCAUGGAUCACAAACACAGAACUCAGUUCCUGAGGACGGCUGCAAUGAGACAACCCACCAUGUACUCCUACAUGGCCUCUCACCGCUACCUUUACCAAAUCGUGUUCACACACUUAGCUCACACACAGUAGGACAUGUUCACACGCCUCUGAUUCAUCCCCGAUGAAUCAGACCUGACUCAACUCUAAGCAGUAGCAGGCAUGACAAACAAGCAUGAAUGAGUAGGCACAUCAGGGCUCAACAACUCCUACUCAUGCUAGUGGGUUUCAUCUAUUUACUGUGGCAAUGACAGGUCAUGCAAAGGAUAAAGGGGUUCAGCUACCGCAGCAAGUAACAAAUAUGUCGUUGUUGUCCUAAUGCAGUAAAAGAGAGCAGGAGCGAGAGAGUGGGAUUGUAUCGGAAUGAACAAGGGGGUUUUGCUUGCCUGGCACUUCUGAAGAUAGCAUUGAGUCUUCAUCAGUGUCAACGAUCACAUCACCGGUAUCACGUCUAUCGCGAGGGGACAAAUACCGGCAACACAGAAGGGAACGCAAUCAAUGCAAUGCACAAUAUGAUGCAUGAUCAUGACAUGGCAAAAUGAAUGUGUUUUGGGCUAAUGCAUCUAGCAACAAGUUAAAUGGGGUUGGUUUGAAUACAAGAUUCAAAUUCAAACUCCAUAUGUGAUUAUUCAAAUGCCAUUUAAUUCAUUUGUCCUAAACAGUAGUUAUAAGUUGUUCUAACAUGCAAGAAAAUGGUACAGAUGGAUUCCUUGAAUUUUUCUGAUAAUUUUUCAUAUAUAAUUUAUUUAAUUUGGAGUUACGGUUGAAUUUCUAUGAAUUUUAGAAGUUUUAGGCAUUUUCUGGAAUUUUCUAAAUAAUAAUAAAUCCAGAAAAUGAUUUAACUGCGUCAGCCUGACGCCAGCAUGACGUCAGCGAGUCAACGACCAGGUCCAGGUCAAAUCUGACAUGCGGGGUCCACACGUCAGCGACACAGGGGCUAAUCCCGCGUUGACUCGGCUUUGACCCGCUACGGGGCCCGCUGUCAGUGUCUGUUAGGGUGCUAAUUAGGGGGGAUUAGCCGCUAAUGGCAACGCCACGUCAGAUACGCCGGCGAUGAGUCGCCGGUGACCACAGUACACGGCGGCGAGCUUCGGAAAUCGCCGUUCGGCGACGAUUUGGUGCGCGACUAGGCUCUACGGAGAGCUUGGAGUGCUCCGCGUCCAGCGGUGCGGGUGGUUGAGCGUGCGGUGGCCGGGAACGACGCCGGCGAGCGUUUGGGCGGCGGCCGGCAUUCGGAUGAGUUGCGGGUUUGGCGUUGCAGCGCGCAAACGAACCAACUAACGCGCUAGCCAUGCUCUGUGUGCAGCCUCGAGUUCGUUGGACGCUGGUGCGCGACCAGAUGGUCACCGGAGUGACGCCGGCGUCGAGCUCGUGCGGCGGUGGGUUUCGGCCUUGAUGGAAUCAGCGGCCAGAGCGAGCAAAAGAGAACGGGGGUAGGGGGGAACGAUGGCGGGGCUUAUAGGGGGUCGAUUGGAGGGCCCAGCGGCUCGGGGGAGACGUCGGAGGUGGCGAGCGGGCGCCGGCGAUCUCGGGCGGCCGGAGAUGGGGAAGACGGCGUGGGAGGCGAUGCAGGGCUCCCGGUGUUGCGUAGCUCCAUGGAGAGGUUGGGGGCAUCGAGGCGGAGCCUUUGGUCACUCUGGUGGGGUGGAACGACGGUGGUGGCUACGACUGCGACGAGCGGCGGCGACGGCGGUUCUCGGUCGCGCGAGUGAGAGAGCCAGAGAAGAGAGAAGAAGGAACGGGGAGAGUGAGAGCGGUCCAGGGGGGUGCGUGGCAUCCUCAGGGCGACGGGGAGACAGGCAGANNNNNNNNNNNNNNNNNNNNNNNNNNNNNNNNNNNNNNNNNNNNNNNNNNNNNNNNNNNNNNNNNNNNNNNNNNNNNNNNNNNNNNNNNNNNNNNNNNNNNNNNNNNNNNNNNNNNNNNNNNNNNNNNNNNNNNNNNNNNNNNNNNNNNNNNNNNNNNNNNNNNNNNNNNNNNNNNNNNNNNNNNNNNNNNNNNNNNNNNNNNNNNNNNNNNNNNNNNNNNNNNNNNNNNNNNNNNNNNNNNNNNNNNNNNNNNNNNNNNNNNNNNNNNNNNNNNNNNNNNNNNNNNNNNNNNNNNNNNNNNNNNNNNNNNNNNNNNNNNNNNNNNNNNNNNNNNNNNNNNNNNNNNNNNNNNNNNNNNNNNNNNNNNNNNNNNNNNNNNNNNNNNNNNNNNNNNNNNNNNNNNNNNNNNNNNNNNNNNNNNNNNNNNNNNNNNNNNNNNNNNNNNNNNNNNNNNNNNNNNNNNNNNNNNNNNNNNNNNNNNNNNNNNNNNNNNNNNNNNNNNNNNNNNNNNNNNNNNNNNNNNNNNNNNNNNNNNNNNNNNNNNNNNNNNNNNNNNNNNNNNNNNNNNNNNNNNNNNNNNNNNNNNNNNNNNNNNNNNNNNNNNNNNNNNNNNNNNNNNNNNNNNNNNNNNNNNNNNNNNNNNNNNNNNNNNNNNNNNNNNNNNNNCAGAGGUAAGUCCAGGUAAGGUUUCUCUCCUCUGUCUUUUAUUUCUGUUUCAGUUCUGUUUUCUUUUAUUUAAUCUGUUUUGCCACUGUUUUGAAUUUUAAAUAAUUCAAACAAUGCCAAAAACUCCUCUGAAAAUAUUUAUGCUGCUUUAUGGACUUUUCCAAAAGCUUAUAAAAUAUUUCAGGGGUAUUUGAAAUUAUAUUCUAAUUAUAUGAAUAUAAUUCAAAUUCAAAUAGCUAAUGAAUUAAAUCCAAAGUCCCAAAAAUAAUUCCUUAAAAAUGUUCAAUAUUUUGGUUGGGACCAGAACCCUUACCAAAAAUUAUCAAACAUUUAAGAAGAGCAUUUUGGAGCAAUGAAUGAGAUUUCUAGGGUUUUUGCCCCUCUUUUAUUUAAGUUUUUGAGGCUUCCAAAAUUCCUCAGUUCGGGUUUCAAAAAUUUAAACAUGAUGCACACAUGAAGCUAGCCUAGAGCACUACCAGCAGCUAGGGAUGUGACAACUCACCCCCACUAAACAAGAAUCUCGUCUCGAGAUUCAAGCGUAGGGUAGGAUGAAAGGGAAACACAAACUAGUACAAUCUUCAUGAUCCAGGUUGCACUUCAUAGGAACGUUGUUUCGAUCACCAUUAUUGUCUUGAAGUCUUGCUCUGAGAACUCCAGCCAACAUGACAACGAGAAGAAAGGAAAACUCUAGAACAAUCGAUCUUCGAGAAGACCGAACAACUCAGGAUCAACUCCUGGGAUGAGACAUAGCAACAUCUCUUGAGCUGAGAGACGAAGCACAGAUCUGAAGAAAUGGAGUAAGACAGAUGACGAGGGUUCGCUAAGUAAACAACAAUUCCAGACUUAAGAAUGUGGUGAUCGGUUGUCAACGUAGCGAGGAGUUGAGUUGAUAUGGCACUAUAAUGAUGCACCUUAGGGAAGGUGACUCGAAGAUAUAUCCCCUUAAGUGGCAAAAAGAAUUACUUUUGAUACCGAGAUCAUUGAAACUCUUUAUACCAGCCUAAGGCAAUUCUUGAGUGAUCGUUUGGAGGGGUUCGGUAGAAUGGCAUACUCGGACUUGGAUGAUGUGGAUUACCUUGUUGAAGACAACGUAAUGAAUGAAUUUGCUUACCACCGGAAAUGGAAGGGACCCAUGGUAGAAUGGCACAUUGGCGGUGUAAGCUGGGAACAAAAUGCAAAUGCUGGGAAUGAUUCUGGUAACUGGGGAAGAACCCAACAACAGAGAGUGAAUUCACUGUUUGAAAAGAUCAUAGCAUUGCCGAGGGAACUGAGAGCAUCUCAAUUAGAGCCGAUGAUAACACGUAGCGCUUGUGCGUGCUCUCAAGAACUUGAGCAUUUUCACAUUCAUCAAGGUUUACCAACAUCCGUGUCAAGGAUCCUGGCAACACAACAUACCACCAUGAUGAACAACGAUGGACGAUGCAGAUGCAUAGGAAGAUAACAUCAACUCAGAUUUCACCCUAGCGAGGCCAAGGAAACAAAAUCUGGAUGAUCGACCGAGAGACAUUUAGCACUCCGCUUCUAAUGUUCUCCUUGACGUGCUAGUGUAACCCAUUCAUAGAUAUGGUUUGAUAACUAGAACAUCAAGUAAAGGUCGGACUUCGGGAGCAAUAGAAUCCAUAAGGAACAGUUACGGAGGUAAAUCCUACGAAAUCCUUAUGGGGAGGUGGCCAACUUCCUCAAACAAGAUACUACAAUAAUAGGUCUUCCGGCUGGGUGUGUUGGCCACGACAUCCACUUUACCGGUUAUCGAGGGACCAAUAUUAUAGUUCUUGGGAAAUAUUCCAACCAUCAUAUCUACCUGAGACUCAGAUCUGGUUGGUGUCAGGAUAUUCCAGACUCAUCAAGUCUAGAAAGAAAAAUGAAAGUUUGCAACACAAAUCGACGAGAUAAUGUUGCGGGAUUCUCGGGGAGUGAGCUACGAUAGUAAGCUCCAAAACAUGAGCUGGUUUUGCUACAAACAUGUGAACACGUUGUUCCAGACAAGCAUGCCCACAUGGUAGUCUUACAAUAAAACACUACCGAGUUCUGGUUGGGAGCCAUCAUCGAGGAUAUCGAAGUCUUUACGCAAGUCCAUGGAUUAGAUCCCAAGCAUAGACUUCUUUUCCUUGAACAAGUCAAUCAGUGGCUUGGUGUGCUAGGAUAUACAUAUGGAAUGAAGAUGAUCAGUCUAACAGACCACAGAAUACUUCGCACAUGCAUGACUGACGUGGGAUGAUUCCAGAGGAGCAAAAACAAACUUUCUCGAAUUCAUGGCGGCAACUUACAUCAAAUGCACGUGAAUUAGAGGAAGUCACUGCUUUCAUCCAAGCGUAGGCUUCAUGAACGGAACACGAAGGCAUUGCUUACAAAGUUUCCAACACUAGCUUAAUGUUCCACAAAAUCAUGGAGGAGAUAAGGAUGUUGUCAAUGGGCUCAACAACAAUUCAUCUGGGUUCCCUUUUAGAAGGAAUUCCAUAGUUAAGUGAACACGGUGAUAGCAUUGGUCAGACCCAUAAGAUAUAAUGGCGUAUGCUCGAGGAGUCAACCACGAGUAAGACAACAUUACAAACAUCGUUGGUUCUGAUUUGAUUUGAUGAUAGCCCACACUCAAAUCAAAGGAUUGAUAAGACAAUAGGUCCAGCAACUGAUCACAGGGACUAAUCGAUGAAGAUAUCAUCUUUCUUCAACACACACUACACAAGAAUAUCCCUUUGGAAUGAACUAAGUCAGGCAAGCUUUUAUCUUCCAACUCUCCAAGUUGUUGUUUAGCUUGACCAACUAGCUCAGGGGUAUCCCACACAGAUCCUUGGAGAAGGGGUGGUUUACAGGAAUAAACCAACUUGAUCACGAAAUCAACAUAGCGGUCAGGUGACAACCUGGUAAUAUUUCCGAGAAGAUAUACGGAAAAUCACGAACCACCGAUAUGUUACUAAGCUCGAGAACAAUCUUGCUUUUCAGGGCAAGAUGAUAUGAUCAAAUGAGCGAGGACUUGACAAGAUCCUAACUCAUCAAUCGAAGGGUGCACCAAAAUAAGGACUAGGUAGCACGAUCAAUCUUAGAAUGGUGAUUCAAUAACCAACAUACUAAGAAUAAGAUUAUUGUCCAUUAACUACCAAGCAAUGGGGUUGCUAGGAGUAUUGAAUUCACACAUCAUGAUUCACUUGUCGGCACUCUGGCUGCAACAACACGGAACCGAGGAAUGAAAAAGGAUGGCGAGAAGUAUCACUAUGUCAAGAAUUCACAAAAGGUGGUGCAAUUCUCAUGAAAUUCCUGUCAUAAAGAAGGUAAUACUUCAGGGUAAAACAGACCAGAAGAUGGAUUGUAGCUUGAUCUGCGGAGCACAACUUCUUUGACCCAAUCCUGGAUAUGGAAGAGGUACUGGAGUUUGUUUCUCCUAGUCAUUCUGCGAUAGAAUGGCUUGACGGACCACAAGAGUAAUAGGCAUCGAUAAACGAACGCACGCAUACUCUUGACUAUCAAUUGAUAGACGAGGGUCAGAAUGCAACUAAAGAGAACAACUCAAAGGAACAUAUAAUUUUCUGAGUUGUGGAUGCAUAGAUUAGUAUGUCGAACCAAGUUCAACAUAUUUCUUCCGGAUAACCCAUGCAGAAAGGUAGGACUGGCAGAGUCACGAUUUAUGAAUGGAGAACUCCUCAAGAAAAAUCCUGUUGUGAUAUUUCAGUUCAACGAGGAACUUCUGCCAUAAGUAGUUCAUGGUAUCUGGAAGAAGAAGAUACCACGGACUUCAAGGACUAUCGCAAAGGUUACUAAUAUCCUAAAGGCGCUAGCAAUUACUAUCAACAUGAAGUAAGUAGAGUGAAUCUCGGGUUCAAGAACCCAGGAAUAGAAUACCUACUACUAAGUAGCAUCACGGGAUGCUUUCGAGAAUGAUGGCCAGUAUCAUCACACUGGGAACACAAAUCAUGGCUAAAUUACUAGAUGAUCCCCUAAGACACUUAGGGUCAUAAUACUAGCUCCAACAUAUAUGUCAAGGCAAUAAGGUACCUCAACUCACUGAUUUGUGUGAUUAAUCUGACCAAAGGCACAUCGGAAACAGGAGGAAGGGAUUUGCCAAUGCAUCCGACUAUUUAGAAACCUGGGAUGACUCGGACAGCAUAACGGCUGUAAAUGCUCAGAAAGAUUUGAGACAUUCACAAAAAUGGUGGCAUAACCACUCAGAAGCACAAUAUCAAGGUUUCGAGGUCAACAGUUAACAUACAGAAGAUAGUAGGAACUGAACUGAGGCUUAAAUCCAACAAUCUAUAAGUCUACUAAUUAGUAACACGUGAUCCUGAUAGAAAGAAGAGAUAGCCUAGUUCCUUAAUCCCCGUCGGAAAGAUAAGAUGACUCAGAUCAGAAGGGCAUAAGGUAUAAGGAGUAAAAAGAGCCUUACGUUCCAUCCCACAAUCAAUUCCCUUAUAUAACUAAAGCAUUUCUAGACUCAACUUCGACCAUUUUGGCUUGGUAAUCCUACAGGCAGUCAAGCUCUGAUACCAACGCUGCCAGGACCCCGACUCAAUGCCACAUCGAUCUAGCAUGUAACACCUCAUAUCACUUUGCGGCCUCACGCACGGUAUUCCCACGGGUGUCGCAUUACCUUUACCCGGGACCGUUUGCGCCUUUUAGCACACGUAUAUGACAGUGUCGCUAGCAUCCAUAUGAUAAGGAGCCCGGGCUGACAUGGCUAGUCGUAAACCCAAAGUGGCACAAACUUACAGGGACAGGCAUCCAUGACCCAACAUCGAACGUGUCGGUCAUCAGCGAGUGAAUCCAGGCUGUAGCACUGGGCUAGCAGGACUCCGGUGAACCGGGCUGUAGCGGGCUAACAGGACUCCGGUAUUCAUCGCGUGACAUUUCCCCGAAGGGACAGACACAGGAACGAAGAAGGACACAUGCCGGCCAGCCUAAGUGUUCCGGAGCAGUAGCAAGCUACCAUGGCUCGGUGGAAACACUAGGAGACAUUUCCCGGUAAGAGAGGCUACUAAAGAUAAACAACUAGAUAGUCAGAUCCCACACAUACCAAGCAUUUCAAUAACAUACACACAAUAUGCUCGAUAUGUGCACUACAACAUGGCAUCACAAAAUGACUCUACGACUCAAGUAGUUUAUUCAAUAGGCUCCGAGGAGCGAGAUAUUACAAACAUGAGUCUCAUGACCCAACAAUCAGAGCAUACAAGUCAAAGCACAUGCGGAAGCUUAACAUGUCUGAGUACAGACAACUAUAAAUGAAAAAGGCUGAGAAGCCUGACUAUCUACCAGAUCCUGCGGAGGACACAAGAUCGUAGCUGAGGUAACAAGCUAAACGUCGAAGACCACGCGGAAUUACUAGUGAGACUGAAGUCUCUCUGCAAAAACAUAAAAUAGGCAAACGUGAGUACAAAUGUACCCAGCAAGACUUACAUCAGAACUAUCUACAUAUGCAUCAUUAUCAACAAAGGGAUGGUGGGGUUUAACUGCAGCAAGCCAGCUUUGACUCGGUGGCUAACCUGAACUACGACUGCAAGUAACUCUUUUGAGGUGGCGCACACGAGUCCACAUAUUCACCAUAUCAAUACACCACUAUGGAUCCGCUCCCGUCUCCCUACGAGAACGCCAUCCAUAGCACUCACGCUUAUCUUGCGUAUUUUAGGGUAUCCACUUUCACUUGUCUAUGAACUAUGCAAUGGGGUCCAAGUUUCCAUAUCCGAGGAAUCCGGCUAUUCGAAUAGAUAUUGAUAACCCUGCAGGGGUGUACUUCUUCACACACGCUCUUGCCACUUACCGCCCUGUACACGUCAUGUACCUCGGCAACCUUCAAGCGGAAGCCGGGCGAGGGAGUCGGCCACGACCUGACUAACCGAACAAGUCUCUAGUCCAGGUUUAUCGCCUAUUCGGGUUCCAUCCGCAAGGAGAUCCGGCCGGGGUGUCGCUCACGGCCCCAAACGAUGUGUGCAGGGUUCCCAAGCCCACCAACCGGGUGCCACUUGGUACACCGUGCCACUGUGCCUAGUCUGUCCCAAGCCCACCUGUACCGGGUGCCACUUGGUAGACUACUAACACUACCUACAAACACCAGAAACUAGUUGCAACUCCUGGACAGAGAUCAUGUUAAUUAAUAAGUCGAGAUGGGUCGAGUUACCGGAACCCAAUGUGUGGUAGUAACUGGUCAUGGAUCACAAACACAGAACUCAGUUCCUGAGGACGGCUGCAAUGAGACAACCCACCAUGUACUCCUACAUGGCCUCUCACCGCUACCUUUACCAAAUCGUGUUCACACACUUAGCUCACACACAGUAGGACAUGUUCACACGCCUCUGAUUCAUCCCCGAUGAAUCAGACCUGACUCAACUCUAAGCAGUAGCAGGCAUGACAAACAAGCAUGAAUGAGUAGGCACAUCAGGGCUCAAACAACUCCUACUCAUGCUAGUGGGUUUCAUCUAUUUACUGUGGCAAUGACAGGUCAUGCAAAGGAUAAAGGGGUUCAGCUACCGCAGCAAGUAACAAAUAUGUCGUUGUUGUCCUAAUGCAGUAAAAGAGAGCAGGAGCGAGAGAGUGGGAUUGUAUCGGAAUGAACAAGGGGGUUUUGCUUGCCUGGCACUUCUAAAGAUAGCAUUGAGUCUUCAUCAGUGUCAACGAUCACAUCAUCGGUAUCACGUCUAUCGAGAGGGGACAAAUACCGGCAACACAGAAGGGAACGCAAUCAAUGCAAUGCACAAUAUGAUGCAUGAUCAUGACAUGGCAAAAUGAAUGUGUUUUGGGCUAAUGCAUCUAGCAACAAGUUAAAUGGGGUUGGUUUGAAUACAAGAUUCAAAUUCAAACUCCAUAUGUGAUUAUUCAAAUGCCAUUUAAUUCAUUUGUCCUAAACAGUAGUGAUAAGUUGUUCUAACAUGCAAGAAAAUGGUACAGAUGGAUUCCUUGAAUUUUUCUGAUAAUUUUUCAUAUAUAAUUUAUUUAAUUUGGAGUUACGGUUGAAUUUCUAUGAAUUUUAGAAGUUUUAGGCAUUUUCUGGAAUUUUCUGAAUAAUAAUAAAUCCAGAAAAUGAUUUAACUGCGUCAGCCUGACGCCAGCAUGACGUCAGCGAGUCAACGACCAGGUCCAGGUCAAAUCUGACAUGCGGGGUCCACACGUCAGCGACACAGGGGCUAAUCCCGCGUUGACUCGGCUUUGACCCGCUACGGGGCCCGCUGUCAGUGUCUGUUAGGGUGCUAAUUAGGGGGGGAUUAGCCGCUAAUGGCAACGCCACGUCAGAUACGCCGGCGAUGAGUCGCCGGUGACCACAGUACACGGCGGCGAGCUUCGGAAAUCGCCGUUCGGCGACGAUUUGGUGCGCGACUAGGCUCUACGGAGAGCUUGGAGUGCUCCGCGUCCAGCGGUGCGGGUGGUUGAGCGUGCGGUGGCCGGGAACGACGCCGGCGAGCGUUUGGGCGGCGGCCGGCGUUCGGAUGAGUUGCGGGUUUGGCGUUGCAGUGCGCAAACGAACCAACUAACGCGCUAGCCAUGCUCUGUGUGCAACCUCGAGUUCGUUGGACGCUGGUGCGCGACCAGAUGGUCACCAGAGUGACGCCGGCGUCGAGCUCGUGCGGCGGUGGGUUUCGGCCUUGAUGGAAUCAGCGGCCAGAGCGAGCAAAAGAGAACGGGGGUAGGGGGGAACGAUGGCGGGGCUUACAGGGGGUCGAUUGGAGGGCCCAGCGGCUCGGGGGAGACGUCGGAGGUGGCGAGCGGGCGCCGGCGAUCUCGGGCGGCCGGAGAUGGGGAAGACAGUGUGGGCGGCGAUGCAGGGCUCCCGGCGUUGCGUAGCUCCAUGGAGAGGUUGGGGGCGUCGAGGCGGAGCCUUUGGUCACUCUGGUGGGGUGGAACGACGGUGGUGGCUACGACUGCGACGAGCGGCGGCGACGGCGGUUCUCGGUCGCGCGAGUGAGAGAGCCAGAGAAGAGAGAAGAAGGAACGGGGAGAGUGAGAGCGGUCCAGGGGGGUGCAUGGUAUCCUCAGGGCGACGGGGAGACAGGCAGAGAGGCAGGAGGUGGCCUGGGCGUGUGCCCGCGCGCUCCGGCCACGCGCCUGCGCCUACUGGCGCGAGGAGGAAGGCGACAGGGGGGGGGGAAGUGGAGAUGGGCUGGGCUGGCCAGGUGGGCCUGGUGGGCUGCAGAGGUAAGUCCAGGUAAGGUUUCUCUCCUCUGUCUUUAAUUUCUGUUUCAGUUCUGUUUUCUUUUAUUUAAUCUAUUUUGCCACUGUUUUGAAUUUUAAAUAAUUCAAACAAUGCCAAAAACUCCUCUGAAAAUAUUUAUGCUGCUUAAUGGACUUUUCCAAAAGCUUAUAAAAUAUUUCAGGGGUAUUUGAAAUUAUAUUCUAAUUAUAUGAAUAUAAUUCAAAUUCAAAUAGCUAAUGAAUUAAAUCCAAAGUCCCAAAAAUAAUUCCUUAAAAAUGUUCAAUAUUUUGGUUGGGACCAGAACCCUUACCAAAAAUUAUCAAACAUUUAAGAAGAGCAUUUUGGAGCAAUGAAUGAGAUUUCUAGGGUUUUUGCCCCUCUUUUAUUUAAGUUUUUGAGGCUUCCAAAAUUCCUCAGUUCAGGUUUCAAAAAUUUAAACAUGAUGCACACAUGAAGCUAGCCUAGAGCACUACCAGCAGCUAGGGAUGUGACACAAUGUAUCUUGGGGCGAGCUUUCCUUUGACAUGGAAGCGCUGGGUUCCUUUGAGAGGGGUGACCCGGAGAUAGACAUGGUCCCCAACUCGGAAGUUUAUACCUCUACGACGUGAGUCAGCGUAGCUCUUCUGCCUUGACUUGGCAGACUUCAGACGCUCUCUGACAAGCUGGACUUGCUCUUCUGCUUCACGAAGGAUAUCAGGCCCAAAGACAAGUCCUUCUCCGGUUUCUGACCAAUUGAGGGGUGUGCGGCAUUUCCGUCCGUAUAACACCUCAAAUGGUGCCAUCUGAAGGCUUGCCUGAUAACUGUUGUUGUAAGAGAACUCGGCGAAAGGGAGGCAGUCUUCCCACUUAGCUCCAUAAGCUAAGACACAUGCUUGGAGCAUGUCUUCGAGUAUCUGAUUUACUCGUUCUGUCUGACCUCCGGUCUGUGGGUGGAAAGCAGUGCUGAAGGACAACUUGGUCCCCAUGGCCUCCUGGAACUUCUUCCAGAACCUUGAGGUAAACUGGGUUCCUCGAUCUGACACAAUCUCCUUGGGAACACCAUGAAGGCUCACGAUUUGGUUGAUGUAGAGACUGGCUAACUGGUUCCCCUUGUAGGUCGUCUUGACAGGAAUGAAGUGGGCCACCUUGGUCAAAUGGUCAACAAUGACCCAUAUGGAGUCAUGUCCCUUGCUUGACCUGGGUAAACCGGUGAUGAAGUCCAUUCCGACUUUAUCCCAUUUCCACUCGGGAACCUUGAGUGGUUGGAGCAAUCCAGCAGGUCGCUGAUAUUCAGCCUUGACUCUUUGGCAUACAUCACACUUCGCAACAUAGGUGGCAAUCUCCCUUUUCAUCCCGUGCCACCAAAAUCUUUCCCUUAGGUCUUGAUACAUCUUGGUUCCUCCAGGGUGGAUGGAAUACGGGGUGUCAUGAGCUUCUUGCAAGAUCAGAUUCUUGAGCUCAACCUUGUUGGGCACGCAGAUGCGAUUCCCAAACCACACAAUUCCUUCCUCAUCCUCUGAGAAUCCUGGGGCUUUGCCUGCCUUGAUCUUCCUCUUGAUGCCUUCAAUAGAUUCGUGUCCCUUUUGAGCUUCCUUAAUAUCAUCCAUCAAAGUAGGCUUAACUUCGAGGUUGGCCAAGAAUCCUGGUGCUACCAGUUCCAACCCGAAGCUUUCAAGUUCUUCAUACAAGGCAGGUAGCUUAACCUUAAGCAUAGCAUUCAAGGAACAAGCCUUCCUGCUUAAUGCAUCUGCUACCACAUUAGCCUUUCCAGGGUGGUACUGAACACUGAGGUCAUAAUGUUUUAUCAACUCUAGCCAUCUUCUCUGCCUCAUGUUCAAUUCCCUUUGAGUGAAAAUAUACUUUAGACUUUUGUGAUCCGUGUAUAUCUCACAUCGCUUCCCUAAGAGGUAAUGUCGCCAUGUCUUCAGGGCAUGAACCACUGCUGCUAGCUCAAGGUCAUGAGUAGCAUAGUUCUCUUCAUGAGGUCGUAGUUGCCUUGAAAGGUAAGCUACGACUCUGCCUUCUUGCAUCAGAACACCUCCCAGUCCGGUUCUUGACGCAUCACAAUAUAUCACAAAUUCCUUGUGUAUAUCUGGCGUGGCCAGAACUGGGGCGGUGGUCAGUCUCUUCUUCAGCUCCUGGAAGCUCUCUUCACACUUCGGCGUCCAUUCGAACUUCUUGUCCUUCUUCAAGAGCUGAGUCAUGGGUCGGGCAAUGCUUGAGAAUCCUUCAACAAACUUGCGGUAAUAUCCCGCGAGUCCGAGGAAGCUUCUGACUUCCUUCACACUGCUUGGGGAUUGCCAUUCAGUCACGGCUUCAAUCUUAGCGGGGUCGACUGACAAUCCCUCCUCAGUUAAAACAUGACCCAAGAAUCCAACUUCACGCAUCCAGAAUUCACACUUGCUGAACUUGGCAUACAGUUGGUGCUCUCGAAGCUUGUCUAGGACCAUCCUCAAGUGUUGCUCGUGCUCUUCUUCCGACUUCGAGAAGACAAGAAUGUCAUCAAUGAAGACAACGACAAACUUGUCCAAAUAUUCCAUGAAGACCUUAUUCAUGAGAUACAUGAAGUAAGCCGGGGCAUUGGUCAAUCCAAAGGACAUGACCGUGCACUCAUACAGGCCAUAUCUGGUUACAAAUGCCGUCUUCGGAAUAUCUUGGGGUCUGAUUUUCAGUUGGUAGUACCCAGAUCUGAGGUCGAUCUUGGAGAACACCUUGGCCCCAUUGAGUUGAUCAAACAGAUCUUCAAUCUUGGGAAGUGGGUACUUGUUCUUGAUUGUAACUUCGUUGAGGGAGCGGUAGUCAAUGCACAAGCGGAUGGUACCGUCCUUCUUUGCCACAAACAGAACAGGUGAUCCCCAAGGGGAGGCACUAGGGCGGAUAAAUCCCUUCCUCAGCUGCUCCUCCAACUGCUUCUUCAAUUCUGCUAACUCUUCCGAUCCCAUUCUAUAAGGCUUCUUAUAGAUGGGUCCUACGCCGGGUAUGAGCUCGAUGAUGAACUCAAUGUCUCGAUCAGGAGGCAUUCCCGGUAGCUCAUCAGGAAAAACAUCGGGAUAUUCGCAUACUACCGGCACUUGCUCCAAUCCAACUUCAGUCAGAUAGUUGACUUGGUUGGCUUGAGUAGAGGAGGAGUUGGAGGCAAAUUUAACUUCGACUCCUUGGUCAUUGGUCAUAGUGACAGUCUGGUUGGCACAAUCUAUCAAGCCUUGGUGCUUGCUGAGCAAAUCCAUUCCCAAGAUCACGUCCAAGCCUUGUGAUUUUAGGAUGAUAAGGUCCGCUAGGAAGUCUACCCCGUUAAUGAUAAUCCCGACUCCUUUACAUCCUAUCUUGGCUCUCAUCUCUGCUCCGGGGGUUUGUACCACCAUAGGGUUAUUCAGGGGUGUAGGGGUCAUGCCACUUUUUAAUGCAAAACUUUGGGUGACAAAUGAAUGCGUGGCUCUAGAAUCAAACAAAACAGUUGCGGUUGCUGAAUUGACAAGGAACGUACCCAGCAGGACGUCCGGGUCUUCCUGGGCUUCUUCUGCAGUGACAUGAUUCACACGACCCCUGCCGUUGUUGGGCAGGUUGCGGGGAGCUUGGUUCCUUGGUGGCAUUCCACGGCCUUGUCCUGGGUUCUGCGCAUUGGGGCGCGGGGCGUCGGGCUUCUUGUUGGGGCAAUUCUUGGAGUAAUGUCCUGGCUGUCCACAUCCAAAGCAAGUGACUUGGUUGGGGUUGACGCUCUUGCCAGCAUUGUUAUUGGGGUUGUUGUAAGCUGGCCUGGGGUUGGCAUACUGUUGAGGUGGAUAGUUGGUGCGGGGUGCAGGAGCUCUUGGUUGCUGAUAGGUUGGCUUGACCGGAGCUGGCUGCCACGGGCGAGGCUUCUGGUUGCUGGAACUACCCUUGCUAAUCAUCUUGCACUUACGAGUGUCAUCCAAAGCACGUCGCUUGUCCUCAAGCAUGAGUGCCUUGUUCACCAGAUCAGGAAAGGUCGGGCAGUCACACACAACAAGCGAGUACUGCAGAGUCUGGUUAAGGCCUUCCAUGAAGCGCUCCCUUUUUGCAGCAUCAGUGCUGACAUCCUCAGGUGCAUACCUUGAGAGAACACUGAACUUCUGCAUGUACUCCUUGACAGUGCUACUACCUUGCUUUAGGGCUCGGAACUCACGCUUCUUGAUGGCCAUGAUUCCAGAAGGAAUGUGGGCCUUGCGGAAUUCCGUCUUGAAGGUAUCCCAAGUGAUGUCUUGCUUAGCAUGCAUGGCCUUAAAUCCAUCCCACCAAGCUUUGGCAGUUCCCCCGAGACAGUGGGCAGCAUACGCCACCUUCUCACGGUCCUCAGUGCAUCCGACUAGUGCCAGCAGAUCCUCAAUGGUGCGGACCCAGUCAUCUGCAUCCAGGGGUUCAGCAGUCUCGAUGAAGGUGGGUGGUGCAUGCUUCUUGAACUCCACCAGCGUGGAACGCCCAUGGCCGUGUCCUGCCGGCUGGCGAUUGACAGCUUGAGCAAUCAUCUGGAGGGCUGCAGUGUUGGCUUGGCACUCCUCUCGGAAGGCUUGGAGAAGCUGAGCCAUGUCCAUGUUUGGAGGAGGUGGCGGUGGUGGAGUCUGUCCUUGGGCUUGGUCCUGGCUGGCUCCCGCCUCAGCAGAACCUCCGGCUUCUUGCGGCUGGGUAGAGGUACCAGUACAUGUUACAACAGGCAUCCUGUUGGAGCGGUCAAGGUCUCAUGAUUGGGAAAAUAAAAUGAGGGAAAGCAAUAUAGAUGGGACGCCUAGUAAGAGGGUGGUGUAACCCAGAUUUAAGUUAAACAAGGGCCAAAAGGGCCAAACUCAUGCAUUAAAACCAAAUGGGGGAUGUAGUCGUUUACAAGUUCCCGAAGGGAAAGUACGACUUCAUCAAAGCAAGCUGAAAGCAAACACAACACAACAUGGUUUCAUAUGAACCAUUACAUGGACUCGACUUUGCAAAAGGGGUACACGACCUAUCCUACCAUAGGGUUACGGACUGGCCUAUCCUAGUCCUGAACGGUGUCUAAGCGGUGGAAUGCUCGGUCGGGUAUUCUGGCUCCUCUUGGUCUUCCUCCUCAUCUUCAUCUGUCUUAGUCUCUUCGUCACUUGAGGGAGUGGGGGAGUGGAGGAGCUGAACACGGCGCUGCUUUGCCGGUGGCGUCGUGAAGAGGUUGCGGUACUCCUUCGCCGUCAUACGGCGUGGCUGAGGUGAUCCCUUAGCAUGUGUGACCUGUGGGGGUCGCCCGCCUCGAUAGGCUACAACGGGCUGUCCAGGGGGUGCUCCAUCCUUCUUGAUCCUGUCCGCCUUCAUCUGAGCUAGGCGUAGGAGUUCCUUGGUCUCGUGGAGUUCCUUCCGAAGCUCCAUCGACUCCGAGGCCAGGUGCUGUGCCAGGCUGUCGGCACACAAGCUGAAGUAGGUCUGGAAGCAGAGAGAAAGCCCUUCGUCCAAGGGUGGGGCUGGUGCGCUGCUCUCGUCAUCACCUUCCUUACGAUAAGGCAGGUAAUGAGUGGCUGGCUCACUUGCCAUCUCUGGUAGGAGAUCCUGGAGGCGAGUCAGCGCCUUGAGGGCAGCAGUCUCCACGGCGAGGAGCAGUGUCGCCAUCUGGGGUCCUUCAAAGAACCAGCUCGUCGGGGAGUCGUUCGCCCUCACGACUACCUCCACGUGAUACUCCUUCUUGGUGCUGUUGAUCCAGUGCCCGUGGUAGGAGAAGGUGGGGGCUCGAGUGAACUGGCACUUCCUGAGGCUAUCAUCAAGAAGCACGGGAAAUCCGGUGGUCAGGAAGUCCUCGGGUACAACGGCCAUCUACAAAAGUGGAAGGGGAAAGGGUCAAUAGAGGGAAUGUGACCUAUGUUUGGGAUACUAUCAUAAAACACAGGUAUACGGGUAAUCUUGUGGAUAGUCUCACUCUAACUAACGUCCAUGCUAACUAAGGCUUCCUACAGUCAGGAUGGCUCUGGUACCAGCUCUGUGGGGACCCCGACUCAUAAGUCGAGAUCACCGAAUGCACGUGUACAGUGAUCCCAGAGAUCAAUGCUCACUGAACACACAGAAGCUGAAUAACAAGAGUCUUACAUCCAUACAUACCAUCUUACACAAAUUGUGACCACUAUGGUCAAGUCUUACAUUGAUAAAGCCUUAAGGGCUGAACAUCAAAAGAAACAUAAGCAGCGGAAAUCGUCAUUGAUAAGUAGAACCCAUGCCAUCUGCCUUAACCCUACAGGCAUUCUGACUGGGAAACGUCCUAGUUCGCAUGUUCGUCUCCAAAGAACUCUUCUUCAAACUCCGGUUCUUCCAUGCCUGGUCAAUUAAAUAACCAGUGGCAAGCCAAUGAGUACUUUGAAUGUACUCGCAAGCAACCCAUGUUUUGGUUCAAGGUACAACAAUGCAUGAUAUAGGUAAAUUUUGCAGAAAGCUAGUUUUGAGUGCAAUGACAUGUUCAACAUCUAUAUAAAGCAUGCAUCAAGAGAGUUCAAGUAACCAUGAGGACUGGUUACAGAUAUCAACAUAAAUAGAGUGGGCACCAACCCAUCUAACAUAAACAGAGUGGGCACCAACCCAGCUCAAUCAUUUCAAGUCCUUUGACUUGACCCAGGUAGUUUUAUCAGCUCACACACACACAGUUUGUAAACAAGUGGACGUAGCCCAAGAGCGGUUACCCAACUGUCCUUGACCGUGGACACGGCUAUUCGAAUAGUUUUACACUCUGCAGAGGUUGCACACUUUACCCACUAGAUCCGGGGAACUUCCGUGUCAUCCACGACCCGCGGUACCUCAAGUAUCCGGGGUAAGCACCCGAUCACUACCUUUCCCUAGAUGACACUAACAUGGAGUCCACUCGAUUGGCAGUAACCCCCGUGCCCACUUUCCACAUAACACUUUCUUGGAGCCUCGCUCCCAUACUUAUCACAUACCACUGGCACGGGGUACCAACGGUGUGUCCGGUGCCCUGUGAUAACAGUCAUGGCCGCCCUACCUGGCACGACCCCGUCCCAAGAGAGAGCACCAACUCUCUCCCGUCACUAGUAAUGCGGUAUCCAAGCUAGUAUCGGUCUAGGUACUCAAUAAUGCCCUUUCCCAUAUAAGGGUAGAGUGGUUGCGCAUGUAAGGUUGGAAUAACAGUCGCAACUCCGACCAAUCCGUUUUGAAAACAACACACACUUUCCUUGGCACACCACCUCGUCAUCAAGUGGUCACCCAUCUCAUCAUCUCCCUCGGGCAUAAGUGGCACCCGACGGGGUUUUUGAAAAGUCCUUUGAAAAAGCUUUGUCUCCUUCACCAUGCAUAAACCCGUCCCUUUUUGCGUAGCAUCUACUUUAGCAUCCUAUCUACUCCCACCGGCAUAACCCUCAUAAGAAGGUAGGGCCAUGCACAAUGCAAGUAUCAACGAGGAAAUAACAGAGGCAACCAACCCACGUGGUUCACCAUCUCACCAUGAUUCCGAUGCAACAAUAAUAAAGAGCUAUAUAUGACAUGCAUAAAAAGGGGUUUCAUAGACAUGGUCAAAGGGCUGCUUGCCUUGGUUGGCUUGGUCUUCAAAGUCUUCAGGCCCUGCUCCUCCUUCUUCCUCAGCUACCUCGUCAAAUACGGGAUCUAACGUUGCAAGAAAAUAACGGGAAAAUAAGACAAUAAUAAAAACAGAAAAGUCAAAGUGCUCAGAAAAAUGUCAACUUAUUUUUGUAAAAUACUAGGAGGAAAACUAGGAAGGGGAAAAUUCUUGGUUUUGAAUUUGGAGCUAGGGAAACAGAGUUGUGGAUUUUCAAACAGAGGUUUUAUUGUUCAAAUUUGAAUUUAAAUUUGAAUAGAGCAAAAAGGUGUAAUGGAUGUGCAUGAAAGUUACAUCAAUAAAUAGGUGGGAUUAUUCUGAGAUUUUAGGAGUUGGAAAUAUUUCAUUUGGACAAAUAUUUUGUCCUGUGGAAUUUUUGGAAAAGAGACAUAAAAAGAAAAAGAAAAGUGGCG